AAAAGCGAAUUGCAGCGGAAAGGUGCUGAACGCCGACUUCCUCGUGUGACGA
rnacentral:sRNA from 1 species